GGACUACUGGGGUAUCUAAUCCCAUUCGCUACCCACGCUUUCGUGUCUCAGCGUCAGGAGCGCGCCAGUAGAGUGCCUUCGCAUUUGGUGUUCCCCAUGAUAUCAACGGAUUUCACCCCUACACCAUGAGUUCCCUCUACCUCUCGCGUCCUCGAAGUCGUGCCGUUUCCCGCGCAUCUCCUGGGUUAAGCCCAAGAUCUUUGACGAAGGACUAACACGACCGCCUACACACCCUUUACGCCCAGUGAUUCCGGAUAAUGCUCGGGGCCUCUGUAUUACCGCGGCUGCUGGCAC
rnacentral:rRNA from 1 species